rnacentral:rRNA from 1 species
GUGACUGCGUACCUUUUGUAUAAUGGGUCAGCGACUUAUAUUCUGUAGCAAGGUUAACCGAAUAGGGGAGCCGGAGGGAAACCGAGUCUUAAUUGGGCGUUAAGUUGCAGGGUAUAGACCCGAAACCCGGUGAUCUAGCCAUGGGCAGGUUGAAGGUUGGGUAACACUAACUGGAGGACCGAACCGACUAAUGUUGAAAAAUUAGCGGAUGACCUGUGGCUGGGGGUGAAAGGCCAAUCAAACCGGGAGAUAGCUGGUUCUCCCCGAAAGCUAUUUAGGUAGCGCCUCGUGAAYUCAUCUCCGGGGGUAGAGCACUGUUUCGGCUAGGGGGCCAUCCCGGCUUACCAACCCGAUGCAAACUGCGAAUACCGGAGAAUGUUAUCACGGGAGACACACGGCGGGUGCUAACGUCCGUCGUGAAGAGGGAAACAACCCAGACCGCCAGCUAAGGUCCCAAAGUCAUGGUUAAGUGGGAAACGAUGUGGGAAGGCCCAGACAGCCAGGAUGUUGGCUUAGAAGCAGCCAUCAUUUAAAGAAAGCGUA